rnacentral:tRNA from 1 species
UCCCUGGUAGCUCAGUUGGUAGAGCGUCUGGCCGUUAACCAGAAUGCCGGCGGUUCGAGUCCGUCCCGGGGAG